rnacentral:rRNA from 1 species
GACGAACGCUGGCGGCGUGCCUAAUACAUGCAAGUAGAACGCUGAAGGAGGAGCUUGCUCUUCUGGAUGAGUUGCGCACGGGUGAGUAUCGCGUAGGUAACCUGCCUGGUAGCGGGGGAUAACUCUUGGAAACGCUAGCUAAUAUCGCAUAUCAGUAGAUGUUGCAUGACAUUUACUUAUAAGGUGCAAUUGCAUCACUACCAGAUGGACCUGCGUUGUAUUAGCUAGUUGGUGGGGUAACGGCUCAACAAGGCGACGAUACAUAGCCGACCUGAGAGGGUGAUCGGCCACACUGGGACUGAGACACGGCCCAGACUCCUACGGGAGGCAGCAGGAGGGAAUCUUCGGCAAUGGACGGAAGUCUGACCGAGCAACGCCGCGUGAGUGAAGAAGGUUUUCGGAUCGGAAAGCUCUGUUGUAAGAGAAGAACGAGUGUGGGAGUGGAAAGUUCACACUGUGACGGUAUCUUACCAGAAAGGGACGGCUAACUACGUG